AUCGCGUGCGUUGGAGAAGGUUGCCGCCUGUCGAAGCCUUGUUUCGUAUCUGGCCGGAGGCGCCCGCCAGCAGCGCCUGAGACAGAGCCGGGUAGCGGGACCUGACUAUCGGAUCGGCGGCGAGAUCGCUA
rnacentral:sRNA from 1 species